UAUAUAUAUAUAUAUAUAUAUAUAUAUAUAUAUAUAUAUAUAUAUAUAUAUAUAUAUAUAUAUAUAUAUAUAUAUAUAUAUAUAUAUAUAUAUGUAUAUAUAUAAUCGGUCACGAGUACUAAAUACUGCCCGGAGCGCCCGGGGACGCCCAGGACUGCCCGGGGACGCCCUGAAGCGCCCGGGAGCGUGUGAGAACGCCCGGGGAUAUAUAAGAUAUAGUAUAAAUCAGUGCACGAUC